UACAGAGGGUGCAAGCGUUGUCCGGAAUCACUGGGCGUAAAGGGCGCGUAGGCGGCCUGAUAAGUCGGGGGUGAAAUGCUGCGGCUUAACCGCAGCACGGCCUUCGAGACUGUCGGGCUUGAGCACGGUAGAGGCAGAUGGAAUUCCCGGUGUAGCGGUGGAAUGCGUAGAGCUCGGGAAGAACAUCGGUGGCGAAGGCGGUCUGCUGGGCCGUUGCUGACGCUGCGGCGCGACAGCGUGGUGAGCAUUCAGU
rnacentral:rRNA from 1 species